rnacentral:rRNA from 1 species
AGUCGAGGGGCAGCAUUUUAGUUUGCUUGCAAACUAAAGAUGGCGACCGGCGCACGGGCUGAGCUAACACGCUAUCCAACCUGCCGAUAACUCGGGGAUAGCCUUUCGAAAGAAAGAUUAAUAUCCGAUAGUAUAUUAAAACCGCAUGGUUUUACUAUUAAAGAAUUUCGGUUAUCGAUGGGGAUGCGUUCCAUUAGUUUGUUGGCGGGGUAACGGCCCACCAAGACUACGAUGGAUAGGGGUUCUGAGAGGAAGGUCCCCCACAUUGGAACUGAGACACGGUCCAAACUCAUACGGGAGGCAGCAGUGAGGAAUAUUGGUCAAUGGACGAGAGUCUGAACCAGCCAAGUAGCGUGAAGGAUGACUGCCCUAUGGGUUGUAAACUUCUUUUAUAUGGGAAUAAAGUAUUCCACGUGUGGGAUUUUGUAUGUACCAUAUGAAUAAGGAUCGGCUAACUCCGUGCCAGCAGCCGCGGUAAUACGGAGGAUCCGAGCGUUAUCCGGAUUUAUUGGGUUUAAAGGGAGCGUAGGUGGAUUGUUAAGUCAGUUGUGAAAGUUUGCGGCUCAACCGUAAAAUUGCAGUUGAAACUGGCAGUCUUGAGUACAGUAGAGGUGGGCGGAAUUCGUGGUGUAGCGGUGAAAUGCUUAGAUAUCACGAAGAACUCCGAUUGCGAAGGCAGCUCACUAGACUGCAACUGACACUGAUGCUCGAAAGUGUGGGUAUCAAACAGGAUUAGAUACCCUGGUAGUCCACACAGUAAACGAUGAAUACUCGCUGUUUGCGAUAUACAGUAAGCGGCCAAGCGAAAGCAUUAAGUAUUCCACCUGGGGAGUACGCCGGCAACGGUGAAACUCAAAAGGAAUUGACGGGGGCCCGCACAAGCGGAGGAACAUGUGGUUUAAUUCGAUGAUACGCGAGGAACCUUACCCGGGCUUAAAUUGCAUUUGAAUAAUCUGGAAACAGGUUAGCCGCAAGGCAAAUGUGAAGGUGCUGCAUGGUUGUCGUCAGCUCGUGCCGUGAGGUGUCGGCUUAAGUGCCAUAACGAGCGCAACCCUUAUCUUUAGUUACUAACAGGUCAUGCUGAGGACUCUAGAGAGACUGCCGUCGUAAGAUGUGAGGAAGGUGGGGAUGACGUCAAAUCAGCACGGCCCUUACGUCCGGGGCUACACACGUGUUACAAUGGGGGGUACAGAAGGCAGCUACCUGGCGACAGGAUGCUAAUCCCAAAAACCUCUCUCAGUUCGGAUCGAAGUCUGCAACCCGACUUCGUGAAGCUGGAUUCGCUAGUAAUCGCGCAUCAGCCAUGGCGCGGUGAAUACGUUCCCGGGCCUUGUACACACCGCCCGUCAAGCCAUGAAAGCCGGGGGUACCUGAAGUACGUAACCGCAAGGAGCUUCUAGGG